CAUGGAGGGUGAGAAUCCCGUUCGGUUGACCUUGUGACGCUUUACGAUACGUUUUCUAAGAGUCGAGUUGUUUGGGAUUGCAGCUCAAAAUGGGAGGUAAAUUUCUCCUAAGGCUAAAUAUUGGCGAGAGACCGAUAGCGAACAAGUACCGUGAGGGAAAGAUGAAAAGAACUUUGAAAAGAGAGUAAAAUAGUGCGUGAAAUUGUUGAAAGGGAAACGAUUGAAGUCAGUCGUACCGACGGAAAAUCAGCUCUUUGAGUGCGGACUUGUGGGCUUACGUGAGUUUUAACACCUCGCUGUUUGCAACGUUCGUGUUUUUUGGGUGUACCUUUUCGUAUGGUAGGCCAAUGUCAGUUUCGAUCGCUAUAAAAUGACCGGCGGAAUGUAGCUUCGAUCUCGUAUUGAAGUGUUAUAGCCUCUGGUAGUUGUGGUGAUUGGGACUGAGGAUUGCAACGAAUACCUUUUGGGCUAUCCGUCUGAUCUCUGAAGGUUGCUUAGGUGCCGAAAGCGUGCUUACGGUUAUUUAAGUUGACGUCCAAUAGGUUAGAACGGGAUAAAUUCGUUAAGGAUGUUGACGUAAUGG
rnacentral:rRNA from 1 species